rnacentral:rRNA from 1 species
GAUGAACGCUGGCGGCGUGCCUAAUACAUGCAAGUAGAACGCUGAAGCUUGGUGCUUGCACCGAGCGGAUGAGUUGCGAACGGGUGAGUAACGCGUAGGUAACCUGCCUGGUAGCGAGGGAUAACUAUUGGAAACGAUAGCUAAUACCGCAUAACAGUCGACAUUGCAUGAUGUUGAUUUGAAAGGGGCAAAUGCUCCACUACCAGAUGGACCUGCGUUGUAUUAGCUAGUUGGUGAGGUAACGGCUCACCAAGGCGACGAUACAUAGCCGACCUGAGAGGGUGAUCGGCCACACUGGGACUGAGACACGGCCCAGACUCCUACGGGAGGCAGCAGUAGGGAAUCUUCGGCAAUGGACGGAAGUCUGACCGAGCAACGCCGCGUGAGUGAAGAAGGUUUUCGGAUCGUAAAUGCUCUGUUGUAAGAGAAGAACGAGUGUGAGAUGUGGAAAUGUUCACACU